AGUGAACGCUGGCGGUAGGCCUAACACAUGCAAGUCGAACGGCAGCACAGUAAGAGCUUGCUCUUACGGGUGGCGAGUGGCGGACGGGUGAGGAAUACAUCGGAAUCUACUUUUUCGUGGGGGAUAACGUAGGGAAACUUACGCUAAUACCGCAUACGACCUACGGGUGAAAGCAGGGGAUCUUCGGACCUUGCGCGAUUGAAUGAGCCGAUGUCGGAUUAGUUAGUUGGCGGGGUAAAGGCCCACCAAGUCGUCGAUCCGUAGCUGGUCUGAGAGGAUGAUCAGCCACACUGGAACUGAGACACGGUCCAGACUCCUACGGGAGGCAGCAGGGGGGAAUAUUGGACAAUGGGCGCAAGCCUGAUCCAGCCAUACCGCGUGGGUGAAGAAGGCCUUCGGGUUGUAAAGCCCUUUUGUUGGAAAGAAAAGCAGCAGGUUAAUACCCCGCUGUUCUGACGGUACCCAAAGAAUAAGCACCGGCUAACUUCGUG
rnacentral:rRNA from 1 species